rnacentral:rRNA from 1 species
AGGGUUUGAUCCUGGCCCAGGAUUAACGCUUGCGGCAUGCCUAAUGCAUGCAAGUAGAACGAGACUGUCGCAAGACAAUUUAGUUGCGAACGGCUGAGUAAUGGAUAGGAAUCUCCCCAAUGGUGUGGAAUACCUCAUCGAAAGAUGAGCUAAUACCGCAUGACCUCGAAAGAGAAAAGCGCUUUACUGCGCGCCUAUGGAUGAGCCUAUCUCCCAUCAGCUUGUUGGUAGGGUAAAAGCCUACCAAGGCUAUGACGGGUAGGGGGCGUGAGAGCGCGUUCCCCCAGAAUGGGACUGAGACACGGCCCAUACACCUACGGGUGGCAGCAACAGGGAAUCGUACACAAUGGACGAAAGUCUGAUGACGCAAUGCCGCGUGGAGGAUGAAGGCCUUCGGGUUGUAAACUCCUUUUACAGUAAUAGAGAUGUUAUUGAGAAUAAGCACCUGCUAACUCUGUGCCAGCAGCCGCGGUAAUACAGAGGGUGCAAGCGUUAUCCGGAUUUAUUGGGCGUAAAGCGUUUCGUAGGUUUCUAGGUAAGUUAUUCUUCAAAGACCACGGCUCAACCGGGGGAAGGGGAGUAAUACUAUCUGGAUUGAAAUAUGGUGGGGCUUCUGGAACUGAUGGUGUAGUAGUGAAAUACGUUGAUAUCAUCAGGAACUCCGAGGGCGUAGGCAGGAAGCUAACCAUUUUUUGACACUGAUGAACGACAGCUAGGGGAGCGAAAGGGAUUAGAGACCCCUGUAGUCCUAGCCGUAAACUUUGCUCGCUAGGGGUCAGUAUUUAUACUUGCCCCUUAAGCUAACGCGUUAAGCGAGCCGCCUGGGGAGUACGGCCGCAAGGCUAAAACUCAAAGGAAUUGACGGGGACCCGCACAACCAGUGGAGCAUGUGGUUUAAUUCGAGACGAAACGAAAGACCUCACCCAGCCUUGACAUACAACCGUUUUAAGCAUUCAGAAAUGAGCGCCUAUCUUAAGAAAUUUUGAUGGUUGAACAGGUGCUGCAUGGCCGUCGUCAGCUCGUGCCGUAGGGUGUUCCCUUCAGUGGGGUAACGAGCGCAACCCUUGCCGCAAGUUGAAUAUUCUUGCGGGACUUCUUAAAUUUAUUUUAGGAGGAAGUGAGGACGACGUCAGGUCAGCAUGGCCCUUAUAGCUGGGGCGACACACAUACUACAAUGGAGCCGACAAAGGGUUGCCAAGCCGCAAGGCGGAGCUAAUCCCAUAAACGGCUUCUCAGUUGGGAUUGGGGGCUGCAACUCGCCCCCAUGAACUUGGAAUUGGUAGUAAUCGCGGAUCAGCAUGCCGCGGUGAAUACGUUCUCGGGUCUUGUACACACCGCCCGUCAAGUGAGUAAAGUUGUAUAUACCUUAAAUCCCAUCGUAUGGGAUCAAGGUAGAGACAGCGAUAAGCACUAAGUCGUAACAAGGUA